AAAAGCCAAAAGGAACAGAUAUAAAUCAUUGUAGGUUAAUAUUUUUUUCAUUGUCUAUACGUUGUAUGACAGGCAUUGCUGUUUAACUGUCAUUAAUGAUUGCUCUGACCUUUAGAUUAUCUAAGAAUUUAUCAGAGAAGAAUCAUUUGGCAACUAUCUAGGGGUUCAAAUAGGCAAAUUGUGAGCUGCUGAUGUACAACAGGUUGAGAAACCAGCCUUCAAAUGCUUUAAUGGUAGGCAAAUCUUAAGCAAUUUAUAAGUUUUAACAGUGUUCUGAUUUAAGGAAGAAGGGGACUAGGGUUAAGAGUUUGAUUUAUAGCUAAUAGAUUGAGAAGAAUAUUUGUGGUGGUUUUUUUUACUGUGAACAGUAUCCAAAGUAUUGUAGCAGCUGAGUAAAGCAGCAGCAGCACAGAGAAAGAAGAGAAAUGAA
rnacentral:misc_RNA from 1 species